CAACUGUCCCCAACAAUCACAGCGGUUGCAUUUCCCGGCCUUGCAGCUAGGGGGAGGUCUAGGUUUACUGCUGUGCUACAUUCUGCUGCUGUGUUGUCUUGGUUAAUCUCUUCACUGCAGCAGGCGGGCGCACAGAGGAGGAAGAGGAAGAGGAGAGGUGAAGAGACAGGAGGCUGCCCAACACACAACUCACUGCAGUGACAGAGAGAUUAGUUGUGACUGAAGUGCUGCUGGGACGUUAAUGUGAAAUGUUAGGGUGCUAUUUUGGAGGUAUUUGGAAAAUGUUAUGUCUUACUGAUAUGUAUAUGUAUAUUGCUUAUGUCUUGUAGUUGUGUAAAGACUUUCACAACUUGUGUUCAAAGCAUUACGAUCAUAGUAUAUGACAUAAGAGACCGUUAUGUGAUCUGAGUUAUUUAAUGCUGAUUGUUUUUAUACUUUGUUACCUGCAGUUCAGUGUUUUCCCUCUUGUCUGUUCUCCCUCAGAUGCUGCCAUAAAUUAGCAAUAUUUACUGGUUUGUCACUAAUCAUCCACAAACAGCAUUAUGGGCCAACUGUUCUCUUCAGAAGAAGAGCUUUCUCAAGUGAAGGAUGCGAUUGGUUCUCUCCUCUUCGAUGCCAUGUUGGAAGGCGGUGCCGUACCUGACCUCGGAGUUGUUCACCCUCUCCUCCUAGCCAAUCAGGGUGAGAGCGUUGACUCCCGGGCCAGCCUCCAGAAACAACUGAAACAGCUGCAGGGAGACAUUGGGAAGAGGGCGCCAACGUACCUGAAGGAACUGAUUGGCCGUUUGUCGACCUUCUCGGAUGAGCCACGCCUCGCCGGCUUGGUGGGAUUAGUGGUUACUAUGGUGAUGGAUAUGGCCUAUACGUCAUCGUCAUCAGUUGUGAAAGGGAAGUCGGCAGGGUCAUCAUCAUGCCAGCAGAGAGUCUGGGAGCUCCAGGAGGUGACGGAGGAGUACCUCAAGCGCUGUAGGAUCAACCUGAGUGACAAAAGCAAAUUGACCCAGGACUCCAUCAGACUGGAGGCCCAGCUCAGCCUCACCCUCACCCAGCUGAAGACGUGUCUGCUGGGGGGAGACUGUGACUCCAGGUCUCUGAGGCACUGGGCCAGUGGAGCAGCAUUUCAUACCCAGAUGUUGGUUCACCUGGCUGGCCUUGAGGGUCAGGAUGAGCCCCUGGCUGCAAGGACUGCACUGGAGCAAUACAAGGAAGACCUCACACAGAUCGUACCUGCUUACAGGCGUUAUAAGUCUAAUACAGUGUGCGUUGUGAAAUGUCGAGGGGGUCUUCUGGCAUCAUGUGACCCCUCCGGUGAGUUGCCAGAGGAGGGAUCAAUGACGGGACUCACUGUGACGGACAGAGAGACAGGAAAGAGUGUGACCAUCCCUCUAUCUGCCAUGAGGACGGAGACAGGGAGAAGAAUGAGAGUCUCUGGGCCUGAUGCUACAGCUGUGUCCUCCUCCAUUGACCUGGACCUGAUCACUUCAGAUCAAUACGCCCAGGCAUACCUGCACCACCUGUUCUCUGAUAAGGGACCUGUGGCAGAGCUGGAGAAGUACUUCAUCAAGGCUAAUGAUAAUCUGAGAACACUACGAACAGAAGCAGGAUGUACAAACAAGAAAGGCGUGAGAGACGGGAUAGAACAAAGUGAUGGAGUGCAUGUGAAAGCCCAGUCACAGGGCAUUGAUACAGAACAAACAGUUGACAGCGGUAAAGGAGAUAAUCAGGGCAAGACGGACAGGAGAGGAAGACGAGACGAGACGGAGGAACGUGAGCAGAGAGAUGAAGGUUUGCGGCUGAGUAUUGUGGAGACGCAGCCCCAUGAGAGCCAGCGCACAGCAGGAAGCACGUCGGCCCUCAGAAACUCAGAAACAUGACGGACUUCUCUAAUGUUGCUUUUAAUUUAUGCUGAGAGCUUAAUCGAUUGCUGCAUAGAAGCUGAAUAGCAGGUUUACUGAUUUGUCUGCAAUGCUACACUACAAAUGUGUCCACCGUGGAAACGAUAUGAACUUUGGGUUUGUUGAAUUCUAUUAAGUGUGUGUCACAUUUAACACAUGUCAGUCAGUCAAUUUCAAUAAAUGCUUACAAGCCGUAAGAACUGUGCUUCCUAAUUAUUAUUCCGUUUGUAUAAUUUCCUAAUACAAAAAUACAAAUUAACAU
rnacentral:lncRNA from 1 species